GACGAACGCUGGCGGCGUGCUUAACACAUGCAAGUCGAACGGUGAACCUCUUCGGAGGGGAUCAGUGGCGAACGGGUGAGUAACACGUGGGCAACCUGCCCCCGGCUCUGGGAUAACUCCAAGAAAUUGGGGCUAAUACCGGAUGUUCACCGCUUCCCGCAUGGGUGGUGGUGGAAAGGGUUUCCGGCUGGGGAUGGGCCCGCGGCCUAUCAGCUUGUUGGUGGGGUAGUGGCCUACCAAGGCGACGACGGGUAGCCGGCCUGAGAGGGUGACCGGCCACACUGGGACUGAGACACGGCCCAGACUCCUACGGGAGGCAGCAGCGGGGAAUAUUGCGCAAUGGGCGGAAGCCUGACGCAGCGACGCCGCGUGGGGGAUGACGGCCUUCGGGUUGUAAACCUCUUUCAGCAGGGACGAAGCGCAAGUGACGGUACCUGCAGAAGAAGCACCGGCCAACUACGUG
rnacentral:rRNA from 1 species